AAGAGUUGCAAAACUCCCUUAAACCAUCGCGAACGUUACCGUACACCGUUGCUUCGGCGGGCGGGCUCCCCGUGAGCCCCCCCGGCCCCCUCGCGGGGCGCUCGCCGGAGCGGCACAACCAAACUCUUAUAACUAUUGGCCUCUCUGAGUAAGAUUUUUAAAAUAAGUCA
rnacentral:misc_RNA from 1 species